GCUGGGCAUGGUGGCGCAUGCCUAUAGUCCCAGCUACUCAGGAGGCUGAGGCAGGAGAAUGGCUUGAACCCGGGAGGCAUUGGUUGCAGUGAGCCAAGAUUGUGCCACUGCACUCCAGCCUGGGCAACAGAGUGAGACUCUGUCUCAA
rnacentral:SRP_RNA from 1 species